GGAGAGAUGUCCGAGCGGUUUAAGGAGCACGCCUGGAAAGUGUGUAUACGUUAAUAGCGUAUCGAGGGUUCGAAUCCCUCUCUCUCCG
rnacentral:tRNA from 1 species